rnacentral:rRNA from 1 species
UACAGAGGGGGCAAGCGUUGUUCGGAAUUACUGGGCGUAAAGGGCGCGUAGGCGGCCUUCUAAGUCGAACGUGAAAUCCCCGGGCUCAACCCGGGAACUGCGUCCGAUACUGGAAGGCUUGAAUCCGGGAGAGGGAUGCGGAAUUCCAGGUGUAGCGGUGAAAUGCGUAGAUAUCAGGAGGAACACCGGUGGCGAAGGCGGGAUCCUGGGCCAGUACG